rnacentral:rRNA from 1 species
UGGCUCAGGACGAACGCUGGCGGCGUGCCUAAUACAUGCAAGUCGAGCGGAGUUGAUGAGGUGCUUGCACCUCUGAUAUCUUAGCGGCGGACGGGUGAGUAACACGUGGGUAACCUGCCUGUAAGACUGGGAUAACAUUCGGAAACGAAUGCUAAUACCGGAUACGCGAUUUGGUCGCAUGACCGAAUCGGGAAAGAUGGAGCAAUCUAUCACUUACAGAUGGACCCGCGGCGCAUUAGCUAGUUGGUGAGGUAACGGCUCACCAAGGCGACGAUGCGUAGCCGACCUGAGAGGGUGAUCGGCCACACUGGGACUGAGACACGGCCCAGACUCCUACGGGAGGCAGCAGUAGGGAAUCUUCCGCAAUGGACGAAAGUCUGACGGAGCAACGCCGCGUGAGUGAUGAAGGUUUUCGGAUCGUAAAGCUCUGUUGCCAGGGAAGAAUGCUUGGGAGAGUAACUGCUCUCAAGGUGACGGUACCUGAGAAGAAAGCCCCGGCUAACUACGUGCCAGCAGCCGCGGUAAUACGUAGGGGGCAAGCGUUGUCCGGAAUUAUUGGGCGUAAAGCGCGCGCAGGCGGCCUUGUAAGUCUGUUGUUUAAACUUGGGGCUCAACCCCAAGUCGCAAGGGAAACUGCAAAGCUUGAGUACAGAAGAGGAAAGUGGAAUUCCACGUGUAGCG